AAACGGCUAGUUUCUUCAAUCCAACGGUCAGAAAGGACUAUUUGGAUGUUGGAGAAGUAUUUAAGAGGGAGUAUUCAUCAGAGGAAGCAAGCUUUUGGGAAAAUACAUCAAGUGCAUUCAAGAGAGAACCCUAGCAAGGCAAGCUUCAUCCAAGUGCUUCAUUCAAGAGUCAAAAGAAAGGGGUUGAGCAGAUUCAAAGAGUCAUCAAGAGCUCCAUCCUCCCUUGAAGAGUGAAGCAUCCUUGACAAAGAAGAGAGAAGCCACUUCAAAGCGAUAAUUUCUUUCUAACUCUUCUUUGUAGUUCAUAUUGCUUUAUAUGCUCAUUUAGGAGUUUAAAUCUUUUCUUUUCAUUUGUUUUAAAUACUUUGUAAAGGUUCGUUGGUAAGCCCGCAAAACCAACAAAGGUUUUUGGUAAACCCGGAAAACCAAAGUUGUAUAGGUUCGUUGGUGAGCCCGCAAAACCAACAAGGUUUUUGGUGAACCCGGAAAACCAAAGUUGUAUAGGUUCAUUGGUGAGCCCGUAAAACCAACAAGGUUUUUGGAUUGUGAGCCCGAAAAACAAUCCAACUGUAAUCCGUGAGAUUAUAGUGAAUUUCCAAGGGUACGCUUGGGGAGUGGACGUAGGUGCUAAGGAGAGCACCGAACCACUAUAUAUUGGUGUGUUUGCAUUAUGUUUGUGCUUUCAUUUUCCCUUGCUUUAUCUUCUAUUCUUGUAUUAGCUUAACUCACUCAAAUAACCUAAGUAAGCAUCCACCG
rnacentral:lncRNA from 1 species